UACGUAGGGUGCAAGCGUUGUCCGGAAUUAUUGGGCGUAAAGAGCUUGUAGGCGGUUUGUCGCGUCUGCCGUGAAAUUUCGGGGCUCAACCUCGAACUUGCGGUGGGUACGGGCAGACUAGAGUGUGGUAGGGGAGACUGGAAUUCCUGGUGUAGCGGUGAAAUGCGCAGAUAUCAGGAGGAACACCGAUGGCGAAGGCAGGUCUCUGGGCCACUACUGACGCUGAGAAGCGAAAGCAUGGGGAGCGAACAGG
rnacentral:rRNA from 1 species